GAGUUUGAUCAUGGCUCAGGAUGAACGCUAGCGGCAGGCCUAACACAUGCAAGUCGAACGGUAACAGGGAUUGCUUGCAAUCCGCUGACGAGUGGCGCACGGGUGCGUAACGCGUAUGCAAUCUGCCUAUAACUGAGGGAUAGCCCAGAGAAAUUUGGAUUAAUACCUCAUAAUAUUGUUUUUUGGCAUCAUUAAACAAUUAAAACUUCGGUGGUUAUAGAUGAGCAUGCGUCCUAUUAGCUUGUUGGUAAGGUAACGGCUUACCAAGGCAACGAUAGGUAGGGGGCCUGAAAGGGUGAUCCCCCACACUGGUACUGAGACACGGACCAGACUCCUACGGGAGGCAGCAGUGAGGAAUAUUGCGCAAUGGAGGAAACUCUGACGCAGCCAUGCCGCGUGCAGGAAGACGGCCCUACGGGUUGUAAACUGCUUUUAUAUAGGAAGAAACCCCGAUACGUGUAUCGGCUUGACGGUACUAUAUGAAUAAGGACCGGCUAACUCCGUGCCAGCAGCCGCGGUAAUACGGAGGGUCCAAGCGUUAUCCGGAUUUAUUAGGUUUAAAGGGUCCGCAGGCGGGAUUUUAAGUCAGUGGUGAAAGCCUACAGCUCAACUGUAGAACUGCCAUUGAUACUGAUAUCCUUGAGUGUGGUUGAAGUGGGCGGAACAUGUCAUGUAGCGGUGAAAUGCAUAGAUAUGACAUAGAACACCAAUUGCGAAGGCAGCUCACUAAGCCAUUACUGACGCUGAGGGACGAAAGCGUGGGGAGCGAACAGGAUUAGAUACCCUGGUAGUCCACGCCGUAAACGAUGAUCACUCGUUGCUAGCGAUACACUGUUAGUGACCAAGCGAAAGUGUUAAGUGAUCCACCUGGGAAGUACGUUCGCAAGAAUGAAACUCAAAGGAAUUGANGGGGCCCGCACAAGCGGUGGAGCAUGGUGGUUUAAUUCGAUGAUACGCGAGG
rnacentral:rRNA from 1 species